rnacentral:ribozyme from 14 species
UCACAAUAAUAUGUCUUCGUCUUCUCGAUUUUUUUUCAGUUGUUUUUUUUUUUUUUUUUUACUUUUUUUUUGAAAACCAGAAAACUAGAACGUCUUUUGAAAUUUCAAAAAUAUAGGGGGGGUG